GGGGAUAUAUGGGUUCUGGUGAGCUCCUUGGUCUUCAAAACCAAUGCUGGCGGCUGACCGUCGCCUAGGUAGGUUCGAUUCCUACAUAUUCCCGCCA
rnacentral:tRNA from 1 species